UCUAUUAUGGAUGAAUAUGUGAUAUUAGUCUAAUGAAGCUUCUUUCAAAGCCCUUCAAAGAGGUACUACUCCUAGAAUAUUCCAAUAUCUCCACAACCAAAUUAUCCUUCCAAAGUCAUUCCUUACCAGAGAACCCUACCUCAAAGCCAAUCGAAUAUACCUUAUGUUCCAAAUCACAACCAAAUUUGUUAAGAUCAAAUUAGUAAUGUAUUAGUUUGACAGCUGUCAACAGGUGUCAUUGUUAGUUUGUUAGAAGUUAGUUAGGGUGAUUAGAUAUUUUUUGUUCUUCUACACAUGUAUAUAUAUCAUUUAUCAGAAAGAAAUGAAUUCAAUCUUUCAUUUCCCCAAAUCAAAAUGUUCUGUGUGUUCUAGCUUGCUGAAGCUAUCUCAAGCUCCAUUAAUGAAGUUUCAUCAGAGCAAUGCAUACAGUUCAUAAUCUCGUUAUGGUAUCAGAGCCUAUAAGGUCCAUCUUUCAUCUCAAUUUUGCGUUUCUUUCUGGGAUCUGAUUUUUCGUCAUCACAGUCCCAAUUUCGAUUUCAAUUGUCUCGCCCCAAUUUUUUUCUUAUUUUCUCCUUUUGAAACCUUCCCAAAACUCUCAACCAAUUCACUCCUCAAAUUUUUAGUUUUUUUUUCUUAUGGCGCGAACGCAAAUCCAGACAUGCCGAAUCAAAAUCAAACUGUAGUGGCUACGAAUUCGGCUAAUCCUCUGUACAUGCAUCCAUCCGAGAGCGCUGGAUCUACAAUAAUGCCUAUGGUAUUCGAUGGAACUGGCUACCGAUCUUGGAGACGAGCUGUCCUUUGAGCACUCUCUGUAAAGAACAAGACAGGAUUCAUCAAUGAAAAAAAUUAUGAAACCUGCUCCGAAUGCACCGAGCUUUGCACAAUGGGAACGCUGUGAUAAUAUGGUUACUUCAUGGCUCUUGAAUUCCCUUUCGAAGGUUCUCGCUGAUAGGCUACAAUACGUGAACAAUGCUAAGAAACUCUUGGAUGAACUAGAGGAUAGAUACGAUCAAACUAACGGUGCUAAGCUUUAUCAACUUCAACAAGAAAUCAAUGACCACACACAAGGAAACCUUGAUAUCACUGGUUAAUACACCAAAAUCAGUAAGCUAUGGGAAGAGCUAAGUUCUCUAGAUACAAAUUCGCAGUGCACUUGUUUGUGCACCUGUGGGGGUAAGGCCAAGAUGCACAAGGCUGAGAAGGAGAGACGACUCAUUCAGCUCUUAUGGGAUUGAAUGAAGUCUAUACGGUUGUUCGAGGUAGCAUCCUUAUGAUGUGCCCACUGCCCACUAUGGCUCAAGCAUUUGCAAUUUUAGCUCAAGAGGAAAGGCAAAGAGAAGUCAAGCCUCACAAUCGCUUGAACCUCGACUCAACUUCACUCAAUGUUGUGGAGAAUACUGCAGGCACUAGCAGUGCUAUGGUCAAUGCAGCAAGCACUAGCUAUUGGACAAACUACACUGGAAUGACACAUCCUCAGUACAAAAAUUUUGAAGGUAGCAGACCACCUAACAAGUUAAAUCUAAUUUGUGACUAUUGCAGAAAACUUGGACACACCAAAGAAAAGUGCUACAGAUUACAUGGCUUUCCACAGAACGUCAAGUUCACAAAAGGGAAAAACUCAGCAACUGCAGCAAAUGUGUAUGGGGAAACAACGAACAUGAGAGGAAGGAGCUAUGAUGACAACACUUCUCAUGGACAACAACAUCACAAUCUCACAAAACAACAAUAUGAUCAAUUGCUUAAUAUCUUGGGGCACAUCUAGAUUCGGGGAGGAAAUAUGACUGGAAGUUCCACUAAGGAAAUGGAAGAAAAUCUCAUUGGAGGGCCUGUGAACUCUGCAGGGCCCUUUCACUGAAGAGCCCUAUGGAGAUUGGUAGAGCAAGAAAUGGUCUCUACUUUCCAUGCUCAAAAUACCACAACUGUUGCCACAACUCUACCCCUGCUAGUUAUCUGUAUAAUUUUUCUUCCUUACUAGUUUGUAAUGUGGAAAGUCUGAAUUCUUUUUCUGUCCCAUCAAUAAAAUAAGAUGUUCACUCUUCUAGUUGUAAUAAGCAAGAUCUACACUCACUUUCUACUCCACUUGUAAGAUUCACUCAUUCAAGUAAUAAAAGAAGUUGUCAAAAUGA